rnacentral:rRNA from 1 species
GACGAACGCUGGCGGCGUGCUUAACACAUGCAAGUCGAACGGAAAGGCCCUGCUUUUGUGGGUUGCUCGAGUGGCGAACGGGUGUGUAACACGUGAGUAUCCCGCCCUUGACUUUGGGAUAACUCCAGGAUACUGGGGCUAAUACCGGAUAGGAGCUCCUGCUGCAUGGUGGGGGUUGGAAAGUUUCGGCGGUUGGGGAUGGACUGGCGGCUUAUCAGCUUGUUGGUGGGGUAGUGGCUUACCAAGGCUUUGACGGGUAGCCGGCCUGAGAGGGUGACCGGCCACAUUGGGACUGAGAGACGGCCCAGACUCCUACGGGAGGCAGCAGGGGGGAAUAUUGCACAAUGGGCGGAAGCCUGAUGCAGCAACGCCGCGUGCGGGAUGACGGCCUUCGGGUUGUAAACCGCGUUCGCCUGUAACGAAGCGUGAGUGACGGUAAUGGGUAAAGAAGCACCGGCUAACUACGUG